rnacentral:rRNA from 1 species
AGUGUGUUAUUCGUAGACUGGUUGAAGAUGUAAUGGAGAAAGACAUUUUUUAAAAAAUAUAUUUUCCAAGAUUCUGCACAUGUGUGGAACGAAUUGUAAAUCCUUUGCGCGAACGCUUUUAUUGUUUUGUAAGAAAUUUGGAAAUGUUAUCUAAAUAGAAGAGAUUUGUGUCGCACAGCGUGUUGAGUUCAUUUCGUUUAUUUUUGUCUUAUUGUUAUAAAUAGUCAAAAAAGAUCCCUCUAUAAUUCUUCGUUUAAAUAAAUUUUGUUCAAAUUGUAGUACAGUCGGAUUAGAAAAGUCCAUAUUGUGUUUUAAAGUGUAUAUAUAGUCUGCAAGAACAGUUUUGAAUUGUUUGGGGUUUUUUGAAUUGUUUUUAUGUUGUUGUAACCGUUUAUUGAGGUUCUGGCUAGUUUCUCCUAUGUAAAUUAAAUUACAGUCUAAACAAUUUAUUUGAUAGACGAGAUUUCUGAGUCGUUCAAUAUUAAAUGGGGUUUUUGUCUUAGUAAAAAUAGUGCUAGUAGUUGUACUAAAAUUGGUUACAAGUCGAAGUCCAGAUUUAUAAAAAAGUUUUUUCCAAGGAACAUACAAUUCUUUAAUGUAUGGCAAACAUAUUACACCAGAAUGAGUUUCUGAGUCAGGUAAAUCGUUAUGUACUGUGCAAUUGUCUAUUUUAUUCAAAAGGUACGUUUGUCUGUUACUAGUUACGGAAUUUAUAAGUUUUAGGGGAUAAGAGUUAUCUGUUAAAAUUUUUUGUAAUUAAUUUGAUGUUGUUGUCGCAAAAUGUUUUGUCCGAUAGAAGUAUUGCGUGGUCCGUUAGAUUUAUUAUAGUACCUAUUUUCAUUUUGAGUGGAUGAUAAGAAAAGUAAUUAAGGUAGCGUCCGGAGUUAGUUGGUUUUUGUACCAAUUUGUUAUUAGUUUGUUAUCUGUAGUACGUAUAAGUUUUAUGUCUAAGAAACUUAUCGAGUUCAUUGUCUCCAAUUCCACUGUAAAUUUUAAUUUUUAUUGACGUUAUUAAAUUGAUCAAUUAUCAUAGUGACAUCAUCACUAGGGAUACAAGUGAUAAUGUCAUCUACAUAACGGUAAUAAAAAAUAUGUUUAUUGUAAUUUUUAAAAUUGUAUUUUCAAGGAGUUGUAAGGAUAUUUCUGCUAGAGAUGGACUUGCUGGGGACCCCAUUGGCGCCCCAAAAUUUGAUAAUAGAAAGAGCCAUUGAAUUCAAAAUAAGUGUUAGAGACAAUGAACUUGACGGUUUCCCUGAACCAGUGUAAAGAUAAAGAAGUCAACGGGGAAAUUUCAUUCCAUCGGAUUGUUAUUUUGUCUAAAAUAAGGUCUAGGGGUACAUUAGUAAAAAGUGAGACUACGUCUAAGCUAAUUAGUUUGUAGUUGUCUGGUAUAUAAUUUAUCUUGUGUUUUAAGUCAGUAACGAGUUCAUAAGAAUUUUUUAUGUAGUGUGGUGAUUGUUUAAACACCUGAAGGCACUCGAAAACCGGAUUUGAUCGCGUCACAGGGUCGGAAGACAGUUGUACUGGAUGCCCAAAUAGUAGGAAGCUCUACUAAUAUGACCGGAGCCCACAGGCAAAAGAUCGAACAUUAUAAGAAUCUGGAGGACGUAGUGAAACUGAAAUACAAUGUGUCAACAGUGGUGUACAACACAAUUACCCUAAACAUCAGGGGUGUAUGGCACGAAGAAUCGGCGAAUUUUCUAGUGUCGGAGAAGAUACUUAAUAAAAAUGAAAUGAAGGUAAUCUCUACUAGAGCGAUAAUUGGAGGACUAAACGGAUUUGCGAAAUGGUCAAAAACAACGACUACAGGACACGAGCCACAAGGAAUCGGAUGACCACCUAAAUUGCACGCGUGCUGCCUGCUCUCAACAUCCCCCAGGCAUAAGACUAGGAGUUAGGUUUAGUGGGUAUUGCCUUCGGGCCGAGUCCCACACUAUUGAUCAACCUGGCGACCAUUGUACAUAAAUGUAUUCCCCUCCUAGCAAAAAAAAAGCCAAAUGCCUCGUCAUUUAAUUGAAUGGAUUAACGAGAUUCCCACUGUCCCUAUCUACUUUCUAGCGAAACCACUGCCAUGGAACGGGCUUGAAAAAAUUAGCGGCGAAAGAAGACCCUGUUGAGCUUGACUCUAGUCUGGAAUUGUAAGGAGACAUGAAAGGUGUAGCAUAAGUGGGAGAUAGUAAUAUCGUCGGUGAAAUACCACUACUUUCAUCGUUUCUUUACUUACUCGAUUGGACGGAAAGCGUGCGUCGAAAACUUGCGUCCGACUGUCACGGUUUUCUAGAGCCAAGCGCAUAAGAAUGGUGUGAGGCAUUGCGCCGAGGCCAACUCAGCGAGGACAGAAACCUCGCGUAGAGCAAAAAGGGCAAAUGCUGGCUUGAUCCCGUUGUUUAGUGUGCACAGGGACUGCAAAAGCAUGGUCUAUCGAUCCUUUUGGCUUGAAGAGUUUUAAGCAAGAGGUGUCAGAAAGGUUACCACUGGGAUAAUUGGCUUGUGGCAGCCAAGCGUUCAUAGCGACGUUGCUUUUUGAUCUUUCGAUGUCGGCUCUUUCUAUCAUUGCGAAGCAGAAUUCGCCAAGCGUUGGAUUGUUCACCCACAAAUAGGGAACGUGAGCUGGGUUUAGACCGUCGUGAGACAGGUUAGUUUUACCCUACUGAUGAAUCGUCGUUGCGAUAGUAAUCCUGCUCAGUACGAGAGGACCCGCAGGUUCGGACAUUUGGUUCACGCACUCGGUCGAGCGGCCGGUGGUGCAAAGCUACCAUCCGUGGGAUUAUGCCUGAACGCUUCUAAGGCCGUAUCCUUUCUAGACAAAGUAAGCAACGAUAUCUCUAUGAGUCUCGUGAGUCGAAAGGCUCAAUACAAUGUGAUUUAUUAGGUAUUCGGCACACGCCGUUUAUCGCACGAGCCAUUUUUAGCCGAAUGUGGCGCUG